rnacentral:pre_miRNA from 1 species
AAUGUACUCCCUCAGUUUUACAAUACAUGCCUUCCAUUUAUCAAAAUAUAGAUGUAUCUAGACAUAUUUUCGUAUAUAGAUACAUUCAUUUUUAGAUAAAUGAAAGUUAAGUAUUUUGAAACGAAGGGAGUAGAAC